rnacentral:rRNA from 1 species
CCUACGGGAGGCAGCAGUAAGGAAUAUUGGUCAAUGGGCGGAAGCCUGAACCAGCCAUGCCGCGUGCAGGAAGACGGCCCUAUGGGUUGUAAACUGCUUUUGUACCGGAAUAAACCCCCGAACGUGUUCGGGGCUGAAUGUACGGUAAGAAUAAGGAUCGGCUAACUCCGUGCCAGCAGCCGCGGUAAUACGGAGGAUCCGAGCGUUAUCCGGAUUUAUUGGGUUUAAAGGGUGCGUAGGCGGCCUGUUAAGUCAGGGGUGAAAGACGGUAGCUCAACUAUCGCAGUGCCUUUGAUACUGACGGGCUUGAAUGUACUUGAGGUAGGCGGAAUGUGACAAGUAGCGGUGAAAUGCAUAGAUAUGUCACAGAACACCAAUUGCGAAGGCAGCUUACUAAGGUAUGAUUGACGCUGAGGCACGAAAGCGUGGGGAUCAAACAGGAUUAGAUACCCUGGUAGUCCACGCCCUAAACCGAUGAAUACUCGAUGUUGGCGAUAUACGGCCAGCGUCUAAGCGAAAGCGUUAAGUAUUCCACCUGGGGAGUACGCCCGCAAGGGUGAAACUCAAAGGAAUUGACGG